UGUGAGUGUGUUGAAAUUGGUAGCCAAGUCGACCUUAGGAGUCGGUAGUCUUAGACUGUGUAGGUUCAAGUCCUAUCACUCACAA
rnacentral:tRNA from 1 species